CACAGAGACAUCAUCAUAAAUUCCAUUGCCAAAAAUUGUAUUCAUGACAUAAAAUUUCAUUAAUAGACUCGAUGUCUAUAAAGGAUAUCCUCUGGAAAUAUUGUUCACAGACGGAAGGAUGGACAUUAAAAAUUAUCUCCCUUACGCAUAGCUCUUAUCCUUAGACGAAUUUGACUUCACUUUUUUGGCACACUGUUUUCCCCAAUAAUAGCUCUAAAACUUCAUUGUUAUUUCGGAUUUCAAACAUUUCGGUUGGGCAUCACUGAAGAGACAUUAUUUGUCGAAAUGAGCAUCAGGUGCAUCAAAAUUGGUACUAGAUUAUUCCUGCGUUUCGUAGAAUAGCGGGAAAAUAUGGUAUAAUAGAAACGUAUUAAAGCGCUAAAAAGUAGGCGGGGCCAUAGGAAGGCCAAUGGAAUUCUAGUGAAUUCGAGUAAUAGUCUUGUGUUUGGUCAUUCUAAGCCAACGCUUCACACGAGGCAUUCGAGCUUUAUUUUUGGAGCAGGAAAAUGGAGUCCCAACAAAUGGAUAUAUUGUUAUCUAGAGUGUCAGACGUUAUAGAUUCCAAAUUGGCUUCUUUAGAGGUGAAGAUCUCGAAGCAAGAAAAGCAACAGAACGAACAGUAAAUGUGCAUAAUUCAAGCAGCUUCCGAUAAGACUUUCGUUUUUAAAAGAAAAGGCAACGAGGCACAGUUCAAGUUUAACAACACUGUGAGAGAUAAAAUGGUACAGGCCAACACCCACAUAAACGACGGUGAAGCCGAAGCCGCUUUCCAAAGCAUUACGGAAGGUAUAGAGCUUAUAGACGACAUACAAAGGCUAGUAAAACUUGCUGACUCGUCAAAAAUGGUUGGAGAACCGUACAAGAAUAUACUCAACACGAGAUAUCAUCGGACGAGGAAGACGAGAAAAGAAUAUUUAAAGCAGAGAUGCGCGCGGAAAAGAAAUUGAAGGAGGAACGAGCUCAAAAAGCCAGAGUCACACCUUAUACAACUCCCGCAAAAUCAGCACCUGAGAAGUCAAACAAAAAUUACAGCAACAAGAAGCCAGGGACCUAUUACAAGCGCGGUUUCCCGGAGCAUUGGGCACGGGAUUGUAACAAGGAAACGCUAAUUAAGAUAAGUACUAGUAUUCUAGAUGAAAAUGCUAAUGUUCAUUACAAUAGUAAUUCUGUUAAAGCUGAUAUAGCACAAAGUCAGUUUAUAGUUUCUAAAAAAGAUUAUGAUACUGAAUAUGUCAGUCCAUAUUUACGUUUGAAAAUGCAUUUGUCGAAAUGGAAGAGUAUGUGCACAGACAAUUAUGUCUUGAGUAUUAUAGAGAAUGGUUACAUAAUUCCAUUUAAGCACGUUCCAUCAAGUGAGUUUUUUAACAACAACAAAUCUGCCAGUGACAAUGUGAGUAUUGUUUACCAAGAAAUUCAAAAGGUUAUUCAGAAAUGCUGCAUAACACAGGUAACUCACAUUUCUUUUAUGGCCAAUGCAUUGACCGUGGCUUUCAAUAAAUCAGGUAAACCACGCUUGGUCUUAGAUUGCAUACACAUCAAUAAGUUCUUUCAUGAUUUUGUAUUUAGGAUGGAAGAUACUAGAACUGCUCGGGAAUUUUUUGAUACUGGAUAUUUAUGCGUUUUGUUUCGACCUUACGUCUGCAUAUCAUCAUAUAGAAAUUUUUGAAGAACACAGAAAAUAUUUGGGUUUUCAUUAGGAGCAUUAUGGUUAGAAAAAAUAUUACGUGUUUAACGUUUUACCUUUUGGCAUUUCUUCGACAGCCUUUAUUUUUACAAACGUUUUGAGAAAAGGUGUUCAGUAUUGGAGGAAUUUAAGAUUACACGUAAUCAUAUAUUUGGAUGAUGGUUUGGCAGGAUCUAAAACUUUUUCAGAGGCAGAGUCUAUUAGUAGACUUGUAAGAAAGGAUCUUUCUGAAUUGGGUUUUGUGAUCGCUGAAUCUAAGUGUGAAUGGCAUCCAAAACCCCCAGUUUGGUUGGGUUUGGAGUGGAAUACAGAGACAGUACAUCUUACAUGUACGAUACAACACUAUUCAGAAGGGAAGUGCCCAUAGCUGUUAGUCACCACGUUUGCACCUUACUUAGGGGAACACUGUACAUAUACUUCAUCACCAUGGAAUAAAGAACUACAACACAAUUUGGAGGUGUUACAUAUCUAUGGAAGCCGCGGUAGGACACGCGAUCAAUUUUUACACAAGAGCUAAGAUUGGAGAGGAACAUUGAGGACAUCGUGAGUUCCACUGGAUUUGCCUUGGACGACUCGGACAACGCCCUCUUAGCAAAGAAACUUUGCGAAUUUCUUAUAAAGUCAAUAUCGGUCUGCAUUUUUGCGUUCUGGUGGAGCUACUACCGCAGCGAACUCUAACGUUAAUGACAGAAUUUGAAAAAAGCACGGACGUCAGAUUUCAGAUUCAUCAAAAGACAGUUAUGUCAAAGACAGUAUUGAAAAUCAGAUGUCAUUUUCAAAAAAUCUUGUGACAUCAAUGGUUAAUAUUUUCCUGUUUGUGGGAAAAUUAUUCAUUUUGCUUUUCAUAUCUAACUUUUGGACGACUAAAAUUCUAAGCUCACCUGGAUUACGGCUAUAUGGUAGUUAUUUUGUGUAAAUUUAAAAGUGAGGGGUGUAAGGAGUAAAAAUUAUACUAGAUUUUUCCCGCAUUCCGUAGAAUACUGGGAAAAUAUUGUAUGAUAGAAACGUAUUAAAGCGCCAAAAAAGUAGGCGAGGCCAUAGAAAGGCCAAUAAAAUUCUAGUGAAUUCGAGUAAUAGUCUUGUGUUUGGUUAUUCUAAGCCAACGCUUCACACGAGGCGCUCGAGCUUUAUUUUUUAAAUAUCAAAGUUUAGCUCACAUUACUAUCAUUAUUCAAUGUUUACUACGGUAGUUCCGCUUAAAUGCUCGUCCGGCAUUGCCCUAGAGAUGUUAUUUACACUUGCACGGACACAGGUUUCCAUAGUUAACCAUCUAUGGUUUUUCCUGGGCGGUUUUUAAUGUCAGUGAUGGGGUUAACAAUUUAAACACUUAAUACAAAGCAGAACUUCAUAUUUUCGUUUCAAAUAUUUUCGUAAUACUGUAUAUGUUGGCGUCGUUCAUAAAAAAUAUGGCAUUGUAUGUAUAUAUGUGCAUUUGUAUGGCGUUACAUAAUAAACGCCGGCUGCUCCAACAAGCUCGCCUGGGUUACGAUGA